rnacentral:sRNA from 1 species
CCAUGGGCUGGCGCCCAUGGCUACAUCCUGCCGUCCCUUCGGGACU